UGAACGCUGGCGGCAUGGCUAAGACAUGCAAGUUGAACGGACCAUUUUGAAGAGUAAUCGGAUUCAUGGUUAGUGGCGAAAGGGUGAGGAAUAGAUAGGUAACGUACCGCGGGCUCUGGAAUAGCUCAUCGAAAGAUGGGGUAAUGCCGGAUGAUGUCCUCUGUUUAAUUCAGAGGACCAAAGAUUUAUCGGCCUGUGAGCGGCCUAUCUCCUAUCAGCUUGUUGGUGAGGUAACGGCUCACCAAGGCGACGACGGGUAGCGGGACUGAGAGGUUGGCCCGCCACAUCGGAACUGAGACACUGUCCGGACCUCCACGGAGGGCUGCAGUAACGAAUAUUGGGCAAUGGGCGAAAGCCUGACCCAGCAAUGCCGCGUGUAGGAUGAAGCCUUUCGGGGUGUAAACUACUUUCAGGGAUUAGAAAGCUUCGGUUGAUCAGUCCCAGAAGAAGUCACGGCUAACUUC
rnacentral:rRNA from 1 species